UUAAGCGACUAAGCGUACACGGUGGAUGCCCUGGCAGUCAGAGGCGAUGAAGGACGUGCUAAUCUGCGAAAAGCGUCGGUAAGGUGAUAUGAACCGUUAUAACCGGCGAUGUCCGAAUGGGGAAACCCAGUGUGAUUCGUCACACUAUCGUUAACUGAAUACAUAGGUUAACGAGGCGAACCGGGGGAACUGAAACAUCUAAGUACCCCGAGGAAAAGAAAUCAACCGAGAUUCCCCCAGUAGCGGCGAGCGAACGGGGAGCAGCCCAGAGUCUGAAUCAGCUUGUGUGUUAGUGGAACGGUCUGGAAAGUCCGACGGUACAGGGUGAUAGUCCCGUACACCAAAAUGCACAGGUUGUGAACUCGAAGAGUAGGGCGGGACACGUGGUAUCCUGUCUGAAUAUGGGGGGACCAUCCUCCAAGGCUAAAUACUCCUGACUGACCGAUAGUGAACCAGUACCGUGAGGGAAAGGCGAAAAGAACCCCGGCGAGGGGAGUGAAAAAGAACCUGAAACCGUGUACGUACAAGCAGUGGGAGCACCUUCGGGUGUGACUGCGUACCUUUUGUAUAAUGGGUCAGCGACUUAUAUUCUGUAGCAAGGUUAACCGUAUAGGGGAGCCGCAGGGAAACCGAGUCUUAACUGGGCGUUAAGUUGCAGGGUAUAGACCCGAAACCCGGUGAUCUAGCCAUGGGCAGGUUGAAGGUUGGGUAACACUAACUGGAGGACCGAACCGACUAAUGUUGAAAAAUUAGCGGAUGACUUGUGGCUGGGGGUGAAAGGCCAAUCAAACCGGGAGAUAGCUGGUUCUCCCCGAAAGCUAUUUAGGUAGCGCCUCGUGAACUCAUCUUCGGGGGUAGAGCACUGUUUCGGCUAGGGGGUCAUCCCGACUUACCAACCCGAUGCAAACUACGAAUACCGAAGAAUGUUAUCACGGGAGACACACGGCGGGUGCUAACGUCCGUCGUGAAGAGGGAAACAACCCAGACCGCCAGCUAAGGUCCCAAAGUCAUGGUUAAGUGGGAAACGAUGUGGGAAGGCACAGACAGCCAGGAUGUUGGCUUAGAAGCAGCCAUCAUUUAAAGAAAGCGUAAUAGCUCACUGGUCGAGUCGGCCUGCGCGGAAGAUGUAACGGGGCUAAACCAUGCACCGAAGCUGCGGCAGCGACACUAUGUGUUGUUGGGUAGGGGAGCGUUCUGUAAGCCUGCGAAGGUGACCUGUGAGGGUUGCUGGAGGUAUCAGAAGUGCGAAUGCUGACAUAAGUAACGAUAAAGCGGGUGAAAAGCCCGCUCGCCGGAAGACCAAGGGUUCCUGUCCAACGUUAAUCGGGGCAGGGUGAGUCGACCCCUAAGGCGAGGCCGAAAGGCGUAGUCGAUGGGAAACAGGUUAAUAUUCCUGUACUUGGUGUUACUGCGAAGGGGGGACGGAGAAGGCUAUGUUAGCCGGGCGACGGUUGUCCCGGUUUAAGCAUGUAGGCUGGUUGUCCAGGCAAAUCCGGAUAAUCAAGGCUGAGGUGUGAUGACGAGGCACUACGGUGCUGAAGUAACAAAUGCCCUGCUUCCAGGAAAAGCCUCUAAGCAUCAGGUAACAUCAAAUCGUACCCCAAACCGACACAGGUGGUCAGGUAGAGAAUACCAAGGCGCUUGAGAGAACUCGGGUGAAGGAACUAGGCAAAAUGGUGCCGUAACUUCGGGAGAAGGCACGCUGGUGUGUAGGUGAAGUCCCUGCGGAUGGAGCUGAGACCAGUCGAAGAUACCAGCUGGCUGCAACUGUUUAUUAAAAACACAGCACUGUGCAAACACGAAAGUGGACGUAUACGGUGUGACGCCUGCCCGGUGCCGGAAGGUUAAUUGAUGGGGUUAUCCGUAAGGAGAAGCUCUUGAUCGAAGCCCCGGUAAACGGCGGCCGUAACUAUAACGGUCCUAAGGUAGCGAAAUUCCUUGUCGGGUAAGUUCCGACCUGCACGAAUGGCGUAAUGAUGGCCAGGCUGUCUCCACCCGAGACUCAGUGAAAUUGAACUCGCUGUGAAGAUGCAGUGUACCCGCGGCAAGACGGAAAGACCCCGUGAACCUUUACUAUAGCUUGACACUGAACAUUGAGCCUUGAUGUGUAGGAUAGGUGGGAGGCUUUGAAGCGUGGACGCCAGUCUGCGUGGAGCCAACCUUGAAAUACCACCCUUUAAUGUUUGAUGUUCUAACGUUGGCCCCUGACCGGGGUUGCGGACAGUGUCUGGUGGGUAGUUUGACUGGGGCGGUCUCCUCCCAAAGCGUAACGGAGGAGCACGAAGGUUAGCUAAUCCUGGUCGGACAUCAGGAGGUUAGUGCAAUGGCAUAAGCUAGCUUGACUGCGAGCGUGACGGCGCGAGCAGGUGCGAAAGCAGGUCAUAGUGAUCCGGUGGUUCUGAAUGGAAGGGCCAUCGCUCAACGGAUAAAAGGUACUCCGGGGAUAACAGGCUGAUACCGCCCAAGAGUUCAUAUCGACGGCGGUGUUUGGCACCUCGAUGUCGGCUCAUCACAUCCUGGGGCUGAAGUAGGUCCCAAGGGUAUGGCUGUUCGCCAUUUAAAGUGGUACGCGAGCUGGGUUUAGAACGUCGUGAGACAGUUCGGUCCCUAUCUGCCGUGGGCGCUGGAGAAUUGAGGGGGGCUGCUCCUAGUACGAGAGGACCGGAGUGGACGCAUCACUGGUGUUCGGGUUGUCAUGCCAAUGGCACUGCCCGGUAGCUAAAUGCGGAAGAGAUAAGUGCUGAAAGCAUCUAAGCACGAAACUUGCCCCGAGAUGAGUUCUCCCUGAGACUUUAAGUCUCCUGAAGGAACGUUGAAGACGACGACGUUGAUAGGCCGGGUGUGUAAGCGCAGCGAUGCGUUGAGCUAACCGGUACUAAUGAACCGUGAGGCUUAACCUU
rnacentral:rRNA from 1 species